rnacentral:sRNA from 1 species
UGGCUGUCCUGUUGGAGAACUAUGAGCAAGCAGAAAUUUUCUUUGAGGAUGCUACUUGCUUGGAACCAACUAAUGUUGUAGCCUGGACUUUACUUGGUUUGUACUAUGAAAUUCAAAACAAUGAUAUUCGAAUGGAAAUGGCAUUUCAUGAGGCCUCCAAACAGCUUCAGGCAUGGAUGCUUCAGGCACAAGACCAGGAGCUGCAUUAUCUAUUCUAGACAAAUUUCUUGAAGAAUCCUCCAAACUGCAGUCUGAUUCACAAGAACCCAUUUUGACUACACAAACUUGGGAUCCAAGUAUAAGCCAAAAACCAUCUAACACAUUUAUCAAGGAGAUACCAACAAAGAAAGAAGCAUCAAAAUGUCAAGAUUCAUCAGCUCUUCUGCAUCCCGGCCUUCAUUAUGGUGUUUCUCAAACUACCACCAUCUUCAUGGAGACCAUACGUUUCUUGAUGAAAGUCAAGGCUGUGCAGUAUGUGCACAGAGUGCUUGCACAUGAGCUGUUAUGCCCUCAAGGAGGCCCCAGCUGUGAAUAUUACUUGGUGCUGGCCCAAACACACAUUCUUAAGAAGGACUUUGCCAAGGCAGAGGAAUACCUUCAACAAGCAGCCCAGAUGGACUACCUGAACCCCAAUGUCUGGGGCCUGAAGGGCCAUCUCUAUUUUCUGAGUGGAAAUCAUUCUGAGGCCAAGGCAUGCUAUGAACGAACCAUUAGCUUUGUAGUGGAUGCUUCUGAGAUGCACUUCAUCUUCCUGCGACUGGGGCUCAUCUAUCUGGAAGAGAAAGAGUAUGAAAAGGCAAAGAAAACCUAUAUGCAAGCCUGUAAGAGAUCACCUUCAUGCCUUACCUGGCUAGGACUGGGAAUCGCCUGCUAUCGGCUGGAGGAGCUCACAGAGGCUGAGGAUGCUCUCUCUGAAGCCAAUGCAUUGAACAACUACAAUGCUGAAGUAUGGGCAUAUCUGGCUCUGGUCUGCCUGAAAGUUGGACGGCAAUUAGAAGCUGAGCAGGCCUACAAGUACAUGAUCAAGCUGAAAUUGAAAGAUGAGGCUCUGCUUGCAGAGAUCCACACACUACAGGAAACAGUUGGCUUUGGAAAUCCAUCUUUCUGAUACCCCUCCAGCUGAACAAUUUUCUGCAUGGGACUCUGAGUUCCUUUCCUUCCCAGAGAGUUUUACCAUAUGAAGCCUGGAGCUGGAGAAUGAAAGAAUCUUCACUAUAAACAGAGACCCAUUCAUUUAUUUCCAUUGGCUGUGUUACUGGAUGUUUUACUGGUUGACGAGAAACUGGGUCACAAUAAAAAAUGGAGAUAUGAAACUCAAAA